CUCUGAAAGUGGGGCUCUUAGACUCAUUCAGGUAAUUUGCCAUGUAGGUAGAAGAGGCUUUUGUCCAGCUUCCUGGGCUUUUGAAAAUCCAUCCUCCAGGAGCCCUGGCCAAUCACGGUCCCUGUUCUUCAGCAGAACUUGCAGUUGUCAAGAAGGCGUCUUUAAGAACAGAAUGACAGAACUCUGGGAAUCUGGGCCUGAUGUACUCCUAGUCCUAUUUCUACGGAGCGGGGGGCCUUAGAUAAACCUCGUCUCUUUUCAAAGCCUUGGUUUCCUCUUGUGUCACACUGAGAAGGUUGGAGCAGGUCCCUGCUUCCAAACAUCCUACUUUCCUGACCUGAGGCAUAUCUAGGUAUUACCUGCCAGCACCUGCACUUCAUAUACACCGAGUAUGAGAGGUUUCUAAGGUACCAUCUGCCUCAGCCCCAUCCUAGACAGUCAUAUGGAUGAACUCAUGUAGUUUAAUGUACCAGGUAGACGUGUGUGUGUGUGUGUGUGUGUGUGUGUGUGUGUGUGUGUGUGUGUGGUCUAAAUGAAUUAAAGAAUUUGCAAGUCUAUGAAAAAGAACUGUAUCAUUGGACUCAGGUAAGCAAAUGCUCCUGUACACAAAGAAACUGCCUACAGGCCUGGUCAGCUUCAGACCAGAGCGUAGUGUCUGUUGAGAGAAAAGCGCUGAAAUGAAAACUGGACAGUUACAUGGUUUAUUUUAGAAGGAGAGAAAGGCACAGAGAAGUUGAGCAAAGUCAUGACCCAUGGCACAACCCAGCCAAAUGCUGAGGAGAGAAAGAUAAACCUUGCAGGAAGGAAGAACCAAGGCAAGAAGAGAAAAUCCACAGACCUGGGGAGGGUGUGCCAUCCUUCAACCCCCGUGAGACGGAGCCUGAUCCCAGCUGUCUGGGCCUGAAUGGAGCUUUCACCAGGUACCCUGGCUCAAGGAUGCCUCUGAUGGUGACAAAAUCACCAGCAGACUCCAUGCAGACAAGGUAAGGAAUCAGCAGAGAAGGACACACACUUGAUCUCGCCAGUCCUCUGUGGGAGAUCUGGCAGGGAAUUAGAAGGGUUACGCGAUGGAGUUCCCGUCGUGGCGCCGUGGUUAAUGAAUCCGACUAGGAACCAUGAGGUUGCAGGUUUGAGCCCUGUCCUUGCUCAAUGGGUUAGGGAUCUGGGGUUGCCGGGAGCUGUGGUGUAGGUCACAGAAGCGGCUCGGAUCCAGCGUUGCUAUGGCUCUUGCGUAGCCUGGGAACCUCCAUAUGCCACAGGAACAGCCCUAGAAAAGGCAAAAAGACAAAAAAAAAAAAAGGAAGGGUUACACUGCCAAGGAUGAUUAAGGAAACAAUUUGCAAUUGACAUUCAAGGAUGGACUUAAGACUGGGUUUGACGGAGGAAUUGAGAGAAUCAGGCCAGAGCUUCUCCUGGUAACACUGAUCACACCAGUGCUGCGAUCAUCAGGUAGCCAGAGACCUAUUCUGAGCCCUCUUCAUCUGCUUGGGCAGGAGGGGAAACACCAGCAGGGGGUGGGGCGGGGCUAUGAGUUGGUACCGAACAGAGCAGCUGGUUGCUGAGAUGCUCUUCCUGUCUUAACAACACCCGGAAGUGACAGAGCCAGGACAGAGUCAACAGUGACCUGCGUGACACGAGAGACCGAAUGGACAAACGGCCAGAACUCCGACCCACAACCUCUGCAGCAGCCAAACCACAAACUCAGCAGCCGUCAAUCCCAAAGAGGCAGGACGUGCUCGUUAAUGCCAGGAUCUCUCAUGUUUGCCUUCUCCUCCAACUCAGGACCAACUACAGAAAGCCACAUAUCCCUCCACCCAAGCACAGAGGCAGCCCAGCUCCUACCGGGCCGGCCUCCAGCCUCCCCAGGCCAACAGCCUCCAUCAGAACACACCUGAAGCAUCCAUUCUUUUACUCGACAACUUUCCCUCUCCCCUGCCUGCCUUUGAGUCUCUGCUGAGCACCAGUGAUGGGGGGUGACUCCCCUGCUACAGCAAGCUCGGAAUAAAAGGCUUCGGCUUGUUCCCAUUGGGGUUGUCGUUGCCUAUUUCCACUCCCAUCUUAAAUUGCCUAGGAUUUUGAUUAAGGCCUACAUUUGCCACAAAGUCCGCUCCUCAUGUGCCUUUGAGUUGUGCCCAAAGAUCUACCUAUAAGAUUCCCGUUGCCCUAACUCCUGACAUGGAAUACGACACACACACACUUGUGCCUGUGCGCACACUACUGGAACUGGCUUGAAUCAUUUAUGUAUCUGAUUGAAUUAUUUAUGUCCUCAUUCCAAGUGUGCUAAAGGCUUCCACUGACGUCUGCUCUGGUGUGCAUUAAGCCUGUAUGGGGCAAUUGCUUCGACUUAUAUGACACCCAAGGCAGAACCCAAGUGGAGACAGGCCCUUACCAAGAUUUAAUGAGGACACUGCUGCUAUUGUCUGCUGCUACCCAGAAACUAAACAACUGAGUUUAUGUUGGACUCAAUACAAUCCAUUUCUUGAUAAGUCUGAGGUUAAGACCAAGGGUCAGCAAACUCUACCUGGAGCUCUAUGUAGCCCACUGCCUAUUUUAUAAAUAAAGUUUUAAUGACACACAGCAACACUCAUUCAUUUCCUUAUUAUCUGUGCCUGCUUCUACCCUACCAAAGCAGAGUUGAGUAGGUGUGACGAAGACCAUACGGCCUGCCCCCAGACCCGUCCCUUUUUGUCCUGUUCUGUACCUGGAAGCCCCAGCAGACUGCAUCUCCCAGGUUGCCUCACCUCCAAGCCAGUUGGGUUUGACCAAUGGGAAGCUGCCUGCGGGAAACCAGGGAGGGAGAGGAGAGAGGCCGGCGCCCCCACCGCCUCACCACAUCUAUGAUGGAACCUGUCUCUCCUGGGUCAGGGCUCCUUACAGACGGCACCUCUUCCACAAGCCAGCUCUCACUGAGUUCCCCUAAUGCCAUGUACCCCCAGGGGUUGACAGACAGCUUCUUCUUGUUGCUAGUCUGGAGGGACCUCAUUCACCAUCCCUGGUUCAUUUCUGCAAUUCGGCCACACUGCACUCCUUUUGUCUUUGCACUGGACUCACCUGGGAGCAGCCCUGCUCGUGUCUUGAUCAGUAAAGGCCCUCCACUCGAACCAUUUGAAACGCCACAUGAACCAUCUGCUUUUUGCUGGAACCUUGACCGAUACUGUCCUCGUCUGCCUUUCAAUAAUAACUCAGUUAAUCAACUGGUCUAACCCACUCAGGAUAUAAGGUCAAAGCACGUUCACUCAGCACAUGCGUGAACAAUGGCACUGUAAUGAGAGAGGGGCCUUUCAUUGCUGACAUCUGCAUUCAUAAAAUGUCUUUGGAUCAGCCUCGCCCCGUCUCCAUCCCAUAGUGUACUUUAAGGAUAAGAAGCGCUUUUCCGUGAGCAACCCGAGUUUACGUAGGGCGGCCCAUCCACACGAGCCGACGAGCAUCAUUAGGAGGCUGCUCUGGAGACGGCGAUGUUGCAAACAUCACUGCCCCCCAGCCCGCAGUUACAGCGCGCCAGGAGCUCGCUGUCCCCCCAGAAGCAGGACUGGCCUUUCUGUUCUCUUCCGAGUCAAUCUCUUUAUUGUUUCCCUCCUCUGGUAGAGAUGGUUUUAAUAUGUCCCAUUUCUGAGCAAAUUCUCUCAGCUCAUCUUCUAAAUUCUGAAAUUCCACUUGGGGUCCCACUGGGCUGUGUUUGUUUAUAAGGUCACAAAAGGUUUCUUUAAGCUAAAUCAAGCUGGGUAGCAUUCCUGUGCCUGAAGUUUUCUAGAAGCAAUAUCCGUAGCAAGACAGAGGGGGUUUUAAAUCAUGUGUCAGAGAUUGAGCUCCUCGUCCAGGCCGACCCUAAGGACACUUCUUGCCUGCUUUUGUCCUUUAAUUUUUGUUUUUUAUAUGGAAUGACAUAAUGGAUGUGAAAGUUCUUGGUGAACCGUGAGGACCUCUCUAAAGUCAGGGAUUAUGACGAUGACCUCAGAGUUUGGGAACAUCCUGUCUCCUCGGGUUUAUUUGAUUCCUCAUUUUUCAGGGGUCAUCAGACUCUAAAGGAGACCGGAACAUUUUCCCAAGAUCUCCUUUUACACGUGGGGUAGAACAGAACCUAGUGAAUAAUAGAGCCAUUCAUUCACUUAUUUCCCCAACACUUACUGGACACCUUCUAUGUGUCAGGCAUAAGGCGGGGGCGCCUGGUGAGUGUAAAUAACACAAUUUUGGUCCUCUGGCAGUCUAGCAUCUCCUUGGUUCUCACGCUGUGCCAGGCGCUGUGCGAAAUACUCCACACGCGUUAUCUCAAUGCGUCUUUACAACUAUACGAAGUUAAUUACAUCAUCCACACGAUACAGACGAGACGUCAUCACGAAAACAAUGGUGUAGAUGGUGACCCUUGACCGAGGGCUCACUUUGUGUCGGGUAGUGGCUGAAAUCCUGUACGAGCAUCUCCCUUUCUCCUCAAAAUAUCCCCAAGAGCAUGAGACUGUCCCUCUUUCUCAAGGUAACAAUUAACCUUUAUUGACCACUUAAUAUUGGUAAUAUGACCCUAGGUAUUUUAUACACAUUAUCUCAUUUAAUUCCAUCAAGAUUUCAUGAAGAAGACACACUAUUAGACAAGCACUAAAGAAACGUGUCCUGGUUCGUGUGGCUGGAAUUAGUACAAUGGACAUUCUAACCAGUCCUUUAUAAAGCCCAUGAUCUUAACCGGGACACAAGACUACCUCCUGAGGACAUAUUUUAUUCCCAGAAUAACUGAUUCUCAAAGGAAAAACAAGCCAAAAGAUAGCAAAUUACUCAUCACAGUCAACACUGAGGAAGGAGGGUUGUGACACAAAUCUGAAAUCUCCUUUCUUUAUUCACCUUAUACUGUUUUUGUUAUUUCGUGACUUCCUCCGUUCAAACUUUCAGGUAUAAACUGCAGUUUAUCUUCCUUUACCACGGGAUUGGCACUGUUUGUAAACAGAGUCUCUAAUGGAUCACUAGAAAGGAAACACAAAAGACUCCUUAACCCACUGCUAGGAUCAAUGCUCUCUGGGUAAAUCUUUAUUUUGUAAUAUUUCAAAUUCACCUAAGGUUUCCUCCUGAGUAUUCCCAGAGAGGGCGCAAGAAAUAUGGAAAUUUUUGUCUAUUAUAAUGAUAGUCUACAAACUAGUCCUCAAAGUGUUCACACACUCUCUCCCUCUCUCUCUCUCUCUCUCUCUCUCUCACACACACACACACACACACACACACACACACACAAAACAUCUAGCAAAAUCCCUUUCCUUAGGCAAGAACUCAUUCUACACGGCAGUGGGAUGGUGUGGAAUGAUAUGCACCAGAAGAAUGGGAUAAAAAGUCCCAGGUUCAAAUGGAAUGGGAUGGCACAGACCAGAAUACCUAGUAAUUCAAUACAAGAGCAUGGAGUUGAAGAGAAAAGAAGAGAGGAGAGUGGAAUAGAACAGAUAGAUGCCCGCUAUCUGGCUUGUUUCCUGUUUCUUUACACGUGUGGCAUUCAACAGGAAAAGCUUGUGUAAACAGCUGGUCCCCGAGAGCCACAGCAGCUGAUGCUGGGCUUUGUAGAUCCAAAGAGGGCCACUCAACAGAGGGGAGUCCGCUCCGCCCUGGAGACCCGCAGUACAGAGCAUCUAACACCAAGAAUCUUUUAUUUCCAGGUAGGAGAGGAAACAGGAAACACUCAACCGCACAUGGU
rnacentral:lncRNA from 1 species